rnacentral:rRNA from 1 species
AUUGAACGCUGGCGGCAGGCUUAACACAUGCAAGUCGAGCGGGGUGAUGGUGCUUGCACUAUCACUUAGCGGCGGACGGGUGAGUAAUGCUUAGGAGUCUGCCUAUUAGUGGGGGACAACAUCUCGAAAGGGAUGCUAAUACCGCAUACGUCCUACGGGAGAAAGCAGGGGAUCACUUGUGACCUUGCGCUAAUAGAUGAGCCUAAGUCGGAUUAGCUAGUUGGUGGGGUAAAGGCCUACCAAGGCGACGAUCUGUAGCGGGUCUGAGAGGAUGAUCCGCCACACUGGGACUGAGACACGGCCCAGACUCCUACGGGAGGUAGCAGUGGGGAAUAUUGGACAAUGGGGGGAACCCUGAUCCAGCCAUGCCGCGUGUGUGAAGAAGGCCUUAUGGUUGUAAAGCACUUUAAGCGAGGAGGAGGCUCUUUUGGUUAAUACCCAAGAUGAGUGGACGUUACUCGCAGAAUGAGCACCGGCUAACUCUGUGCCAGCCGCCGCCGUAA